CAACAGAUGGCACACAGACAGCAGAGUUGGGGACAGAUAUGCAGGGACAGACUGGCAGAGACAGUGAGUCUCAGAUGGUCGCAUGCGGUUGGACACAUGGAGGAGAGAAUCAUUUUCGCAGUAUCCUCAAAACCGUGUCUUUUUGACACAACUGCUGACAGCUACAGGGACAUAAACACAAAAAAUCCUGCUUGGAGACAAGUGUCCACGAUAGUAGGAUUGCCAGGUCAGUUUAGUAGUGGGCAUGUGCCAGAUGUGGCUAGUUAACGUGACCCACAACAAUGGGUCCUGGAGAAGACUAGCCUACCUUCAUCAGAGCAGAAGGCACCCCAAUGUUCUUUCCAUUUGGUAACAUUGCAUAAUUAAAAAAGGAUUCUAAACCAACUUUGGGAAAAGUUAUAGUCCUAAUGAACAUUCUGUAAAAGUACAUCUGAUGUCAAAUAGGGACUAUUAACUAGAGAGCCCUUUAGCUAGCUAGGUUGCACAUAAAAACAAUGUAUCAAAUAUAAAUCAAUUAUGGUAUCAAAGGCUUUAAAAAUGUACUAGAAUGUAGCUUACCGUAGACAAAUCACCAGGCGUUCAACUGGGCUGAUGGACUCCCGGUAGUUGGUAUCCAUCCGGAUGAUCCUGGCUCCAACCAUCUGAAGCAGGUGAUCGAACUGGCUUCGGUCCAGACGAAAGUAACUUCGGAAUUCCUCUCCAAGCAGUCGAAGCUCUUGAAUGAGACGGUGGAACUCCUCUGCCUGCUUUCGGGACUUUAACCAUCUCUGGACCCAUACAGACCUGCGCUUUCGGCGGGGCUGAUCCCGGCCCAACAGCGCGAUCAAGACCACCUUCCUCAACGUUGGUCUCAUUGUUGAAAGAGCCGACUCUGCUAUCUUGACUAUUAUGCAUUUUGCUCCAAAGCUGCAUUUUGGAGGGAAAUUAUAUUAUAGGCUCUCACAAUUAAUUUGUGGAUGUCAUCGAAUAAAUAAUAUACUUGGCAAAUAAAUGAAUAAAAAAAUGUAAA